GUCCCUGUAGCUGAGUUGGCUUAGCGCCGCGCCGAAAACGCGGAGAGGCUCGUUCGAUCCGAGCUGGGGACACCC
rnacentral:tRNA from 1 species